GACAGGAGACACAACAGUCAGACACAUACUAGUGCUGGGGCCAUAAGGUAUAUUAGCCUGGGUAACAGCAUUCCACUCAUUAACACUGGUCUGGGGCCAUAAGGUAUAUUAGCCUGGGUAUCAGCAUUCCACUCAUUAACACUGGUCUGGGGCCAUAAGGUAUAUUAGCCUGGGUAACAGCAUUCCACUCAUUAACACUGGUCUGGGGCCAUAAGGUAUAUUAGCCUGGGUAACAGCAUUCCACUCAUUAACACUGGUCUGGGGCCAUAAGGUAUAUUAGCCUGGGUAACAGCAUUCCACUCAUUAACACUGGUCUGGGGCCAUAAGGUAUAUUAGCCUGGGUAACAGCAUUCCACUCAUUAACACUGGUCUGGGGCCAUAAGGUAUAUUAGCCUGGGUAACAGCAUUCCACUCAUUAACACUGGUCUGGGGCCAUAAGGUAUAUUAGCCUGGGUAUCAGCAUUCCACUCAUUAACACUGGUCUGGGGCCAUAAGGUAUAUUAGCCUGGGUAUCAGCAUUCCACUCAUUAACACUGGUCUGGGGCCAUAAGGUAUAUUAGCCUGGGUAUCAGCAUUCCACUCAUUAACAC